AAGGCUUUAAGUUAAAAACUAUUUACCUUCAAAGUUUAAAUUAUCAAAAUUUAUUGAUAAGUCUUA
rnacentral:tRNA from 1 species